rnacentral:rRNA from 1 species
GACGAGGGGUCCAAGCGUUGUUCGGAAUUAUUGGGCGUAAAGCGGGUGUAGGUGGCUCUAUAAGUCAGAAGUGAAAGCCCCGAGCUUAACUUGGGAAGUGCUUUUGAUACUGCAGAGCUUGAAUGUGGGAGAGGAUCGUGGAAUUCCAGGUGUAGUGGUGAAAUACGUAGAUAUCUGGAGGAACACCGGUGGCGAAGGCGCCCACCUGGCCUGCUACUGACGCUGAAGCUCGAAAGCUAGGGGAGCAAACGGG